CAGUAGCCGCGGUGAUACGAAGGGGGCUAGCGUUGCUCGGAAUUACUGGGCGUAAAGGGAGCGUAGGCGGAUCGUUUAGUCAGGGGUGAAAUCCCGGGGCUCAACCUCGGAACUGCCUUUGAUACUGGCGAUCUUGAGUAUGGGAGAGGUGUGUGGAACUCCGAGUGUAGAGGUGAAAUUCGUAGAUAUUCGGAAGAACACCAGUGGCGAAGGCGACACACUGGCCCAUUGCUGACGCUGAGGCUCGAAAGCGUGGGGAGCAAACAGGAUUAGAUACCCGUGUAGUCCCUGUCUCUUAUAC
rnacentral:rRNA from 1 species